rnacentral:lncRNA from 1 species
GUUGCACAGCACACACCAUUGCACACCAGCACAGCGUUGCACAGCACGCAGCAUUGCACAGCACAUAGCACUGCACACCAGCACAGUUUUGCACAGCAUGCAGCACUGCCCAGCAUGCACCAUUGCACACCAGCACAGCAUUGCACAUCAUGCAGCACUGCACAGCACACAGCAUUGCACACCAGCACAGCGUUGCACAGCACGCAGCAUUGCACACGGCGGCCCCACCUCCCACCACCACCGC